CUAGAGCACGGUGUGCGGUGUACGAGCACGCUCUAAACACACACUCACGCCGUACCUUAGGCCAGCAGCAGCAGCAGCAGUGGCAGUAGCAGCUUGCGCCGAUCCCUACACCGGGAGAGCCCGUUUGUUGAACAACAACUGUGCGAUUCGCAGCACGCACCACCUCUGCACGGAGCCGAAGCCGUCGUCGUCAUCGUCUUUGCCGUUUUUACCCGCGCCGCCAAUCAUCGUCGUCAGCCGGGACGGCGCGAGUUCAGCUUCAUUUCGAUGUAACUUUCCGACUUUCAUGGACGUGCGUGUCGUCGUCGUUGUCGUUCCGGUACCGGUGUGCUUUGCGGGAAGCUGCAGUGUUUAGUGUCCCAAAAUUGGUGGUGUGCAGCGCGUUUCUAGUUUUUGUUUUUUACUUUCGUUCAGUUUAGUUCCCAAAACAUUUGGCCAUAUUUUGGCCCUCGCCCGGAAAAAAGGCAGCGCAGUUUUUUUGUUUCGCCCUCUGUUUUGGGUAGCAGUUUUUCGUCAUUUUUUGUUUUUUGGUUUUGAUUUUGAUUUUCACCCGCGUGUGCUGUGUGUGAGUGGUCGUGAACGGUGUGAAGAGUGAUUUUUUUUGUUGCUUUCGCCCAUCGGAGCAUACCUUUUGCUGCAUUUAAGGGCCAUUUCUGUCAAUCGAUCGAAGCACUCGACGUUUUAUGAAGAGACGCCACGCCGAACAUCAUCGACACACCCGCGCUGGCAAAUAGACCAAAAAAAGAAACAUUCGUUUUGAAAAAGAAGAAGCAGAAGAAAAACGUCCCCCUCCUCACUACACUCCGCCGGAAAGUAGUGAGACGUACGUUGUGUUUGUGUGUGUGUCUACGUAUGUGACAAGUUAGUGACAAGAGGUAAAAAAAACCCCCCGUUGUGCCGCGGAAAGAAAGUUUGAUGCGCCGAAGACAAAUCACGUAGCAAAGGUGCAACAACCACAG